rnacentral:rRNA from 1 species
AGCAUGUGGUUUAAUUCGAUGCAACGCGAAGAACCUUACCUGGUCUUGACAUCCACAGAACUUAGCAGAGAUGGAUUGGUGCCUUCGGGAACUGUGAGACAGGUGCUGCAUGGCUGUCGUCAGCUCGUGUUGUGAAAUGUUGGGUUAAGUCCCGCAACGAGCGCAACCCUUAUCCUUUGUUGCCAGCGGUUCGGCCGGGAACUCAAAGGAGACUGCCAGUGAUAAACUGGAGGAAGGUGGGGAUGACGUCAAGUCAUCAUGGCCCUUACGACCAGGGCUACACACGUGCUACAAUGGCGCAUACAAAGAGAAGCGACCUCGCGAGAGCAAGCGGACCUCAUAAAGUGCGUCGUAGUCCGGAUUGGAGUCUGCAACUCGACUCCAUGAAGUCGGAAUCGCUAGUAAUCGUAGAUCAGAAUGCUACGGUGAAUACGUUCCCGGGCCUUGUACACACCGCCCGUCACACCAUGGGAGUGGGUUGCAAAAGAAG